GACGAACCGUGCGAACGUUGUUCGGAAUCACUGGGCUUAAAGGGCGCGUAGGCGGCCCGGUAAGUCAAAGGUGAAAUCCCUCGGCUCAACUGAGGAACUGCCUUUGAAACUGUCGGGCUUGAGGCCGGGAGGGGGUAGCGGAAUUCCCAGUGUAGCGGUGAAAUGCGUAGAUAUUGGGAGGAACACCAGUGGCGAAGGCGGCUACCUGGACCGGUUCUGACGCUGAGGCGCGAAAGCGUGGGGAGCAAACAGG
rnacentral:rRNA from 1 species